ACGGGAGACACACGGCGGGUGCUAACGUCCGUCGUGAAGAGGGAAACAACCCAGACCGCCAGCUAAGGUCCCAAAGUCAUGGUUAAGUGGGAAACGAUGUGGGAAGGCCCAGACAGCCAGGAUGUUGGCUUAGAAGCAGCCAUCAUUUAAAGAAAGCGUAAUAGCUCACUGGUCGAGUCGGCCUGCGCGGAAGAUGUAACGGGGCUAAACCAUGCACCGAAGCUGCGGCAGCGACACUAUGUGUUGUUGGGUAGGGGAGCGUUCUGUAAGCCUGUGAAGGUGUGCUGUGAGGCAUGCUGGAGGUAUCAGAAGUGCGAAUGCUGACAUAAGUAACGAUAAAGCGGGUGAAAAGCCCGCUCGCCGGAAGACCAAGGGUUCCUGUCCAACGUUAAUCGGGGCAGGGUGAGUCGACCCCUAAGGCGAGGCCGAAAGGCGUAGUCGAUGGGAAACAGGUUAAUAUUCCUGUACUUGGUGUUACUGCGAAGGGGGGACGGAGAAGGCUAUGUUGGCCGGGCGACGGUUGUCCCGGUUUAAGCGUGUAGGCUGAUUUUCCAGGCAAAUCCGGAAAAUCAAGGCUGAGGCGUGAUGACGAGGCACUACGGUGCUGAAGCAACAAAUGCCCUGCUUCCAGGAAAAGCCUCUAAGCAUCAGGUAACAUCAAAUCGUACCCCAAACCGACACAGGUGGUCAGGUAGAGAAUACCAAGGCGCUUGAGAGAACUCGGGUGAAGGAACUAGGCAAAAUGGUGCCGUAACUUCGGGAGAAGGCACGCUGAUAUGUAGGUGAAGCGACUUGCUCGUGGAGCUGAAAUCAGUCGAAGAUACCAGCUGGCUGCAACUGUUUAUUAAAAACACAGCACUGUGCAAACACGAAAGUGGACGUAUACGGUGUGACGCCUGCCCGGUGCCGGAAGGUUAAUUGAUGGGGUUAGCGGUAACGCGAAGCUCUUGAUCGAAGCCCCGGUAAACGGCGGCCGUAACUAUAACGGUCCUAAGGUAGCGAAAUUCCUUGUCGGGUAAGUUCCGACCUGCACGAAUGGCGUAAUGAUGGCCAGGCUGUCUCCACCCGAGACUCAGUGAAAUUGAACUCGCUGUGAAGAUGCAGUGUACCCGCGGCAAGACGGAAAGACCCCGUGAACCUUUACUAUAGCUUGACACUGAACAUUGAGCCUUGAUGUGUAGGAUAGGUGGGAGGCUUUGAAGUGUGGACGCCAGUCUGCAUGGAGCCGACCUUGAAAUACCACCCUUUAAUGUUUGAUGUUCUAACGUUGGCCCGUUAUCCGGGUUGCGGACAGUGUCUGGUGGGUAGUUUGACUGGGGCGGUCUCCUCCUAAAGAGUAACGGAGGAGCACGAAGGUUGGCUAAUCCUGGUCGGACAUCAGGAGGUUAGUGCAAUGGCAUAAGCCAGCUUGACUGCGAGCGUGACGGCGCGAGCAGGUGCGAAAGCAGGUCAUAGUGAUCCGGUGGUUCUGAAUGGAAGGGCCAUCGCUCAACGGAUAAAAGGUACUCCGGGGAUAACAGGCUGAUACCGCCCAAGAGUUCAUAUCGACGGCGGUGUUUGGCACCUCGAUGUCGGCUCAUCACAUCCUGGGGCUGAAGUAGGUCCCAAGGGUAUGGCUGUUCGCCAUUUAAAGUGGUACGCGAGCUGGGUUUAGAACGUCGUGAGACAGUUCGGUCCCUAUCUGCCGUGGGCGCUGGAGAACUGAGGGGGGCUGCUCCUAGUACGAGAGGACCGGAGUGGACGCAUCACUGGUGUUCGGGUUGUCAUGCCAAUGGCACUGCACGGUAGCUAAAUGCGGAAGAGAUAAGUGCUGAAAGCAUCUAAGCACGAAACUUGCCCCGAGAUGAGUUCUCCCUGACUCCUUGAGAGUCCUGAAGG
rnacentral:rRNA from 1 species